GAUGUGUAUAGAAGACUAGAUACGUCACAGUAUAUUCCACCGCGUCCGCACAGGUCGGCCAUAUUGCCACAGCCAACUGUCAACAGAAUCCACGUUACACCAAAUGUAAUCUGAGGACAUCAAACUACCAGCACAUCACAGCCCUGUCCAGUCCAAGGGCUGCAGAGCAGAGCCCAGCCCAGCCCAGCCCCACACAAGAACAAGACAGGACACUGAGGACAGGACAGCCCAGCCCAGCCCAGCCCAGACCAGCUUAAUCAUCCGUCCUACCCCCUGAAAGGACAUUGAUCUACCAGCCCUGCCCAAUCCAGCACAGCACAGCAGCUGCCCAGCCCAGUCCAGUC